rnacentral:misc_RNA from 1 species
AUGCGAUAAGUAAUGUGAAUUGCAGAUUUCAGUGAAUCAUCGAAUCUUUGAACGCACCUUGCACCUUAUGGUAUUCCGUAAGGUAUGCCCGUUUGAGUGUCAUUUAAUCAUCAAACUCGACUAUGUUUUUUGCAUAGCGCGAGGCUUGGUUUUGAGGGUUUGCGGGCUCUCGCGAGUCGGCUCCCUUUAAAUUCAUUAGCGAGACUUCCCUGUGCUGACCGUCUCUGGCGUGAUAAUUAUCUGCGUCAAAGUGCGGCCUCGUUGGGCUUGCUUCUAAUCGUCUGUUUGCUCAGACAAACCGGAUUAAAGCGCAUAUAUGCGCCCUUUUCCGAUCUAUUUUGACCUCAAAUCGGGUAGGACUACCCGCUGAACUUAA